GUGCCAGCAGCCGCGGUAAUACGAAGGGUGCAAGCGUUAAUCGGAAUUACUGGGCGUAAAGCGCGCGUAGGUGGUUCGUUAAGUUGGACGUGAAAGCCCCGGGCUCAACCUGGGAACUGCAUCCAAAACUGGCGAGCUAGAGUAUGGCAGAGGGUGGUGGAAUUUCCUGUGUAACGGUGAAAUGCGUAGAUAUAGGAAGGAACACCAGUGGCGAAGGCGACCACCUGGGCUAAUACUGACACUGAGGUGCGAAAGCGUGGGGAGCAAACAGGAUUAGAAACCCCCGUAGUCC
rnacentral:rRNA from 1 species